UAAAGAAGCAUCACCGUACACAACAAAAUCUUUUCCCAACUCUGGUAAAGUCAAUACCAGUGCCUCUGUCAAUAUUUGCUUCAACAUUUCAAACAUUUCUGACUGUAACACCCCUUACCCGUAUCCGAGGCCGGGCUAAGGUACGAGGCGUUACCAGACAAACAUACAAACAUUAAACUAAAAUAUGAGCCAUAAAAUUUUAUUCAUAUUUCAAACCGUUCAUUCUCUUACACAUAGUCCCUU
rnacentral:lncRNA from 1 species